GGGUGGAAGAGCGACUCGGCAGUGUAAUGGGGUGCGGUCCGGACAUGGAGCCACCCAGUGGACGCUGGUGAGUGGGUCACCGGGACGGUUGACCCUUAGGGAGGGGGCAGUGUAGCGUCGCCACUGGGUCUGGCACGGGCUUUACCCAGAAAGCCUUGCGGCAGUGGUGUCUAAGCUCACCGUGGCCGUGUAUCCCGAUGUUGAGAGUGGGGUGGCUGCGGUGAGGGCUGGGUAAGUAGCUUAUAUGUUUGUCUGUUGUAUGAUUGUAUGUGUGUAUGAAUGGGUUAAGUGGCUAGAAGGGAUGGUUGGGCCAUGGAAGGGAGUUAUUGCGAGUUUGGUGAUGUCAGCAUGCGUGGGAUUGGUAAUUUUAGUGAUAUGUUGUUGUUGUGGUAUCCCGUGCAUCAGGGUAUUAAUAGAAAAUUUUUUAAUAGAUAUAGUGAGUAGAGGAAGCAGAGGGGGGCAGGAUCCACCAGUUAUCCAGAUGGUGUUGGCUGAUUUGUCGAGAUAUCAUGUAGAUGAAGAUGAGGAGGAUGCCCUUGAAGAUGGGCCGGAAGACCCACUUCGAGCAGUAUAAGUGCUACUAACUCUGCUUAAUUAAAGGUAAAACCGACCAGACAAGAUGAGGAGAGAGGACCAGCACUACUAAUCACACACCGUGAUGAAGGAAGGAGACUGGGAAGGACUGGCAGAGGCAGACACUGAGGGGACUGGAAGACCCACUCCAAGGGACAGAAGUGCCACUAACUGGACCUGCCUACAGGGAACUAAACACAGCAGAAAGCCCGACAAAACCAACCAUGUGGAAGAAGAGUCCAGCGGAAUCAACGGAGCGGAACAAGACGAGGGGGGAGAAUUUAGUUAGACUAGGAGACAAAAACAUAAACAUAUAGUUCGCAGACACAUAGACCAUCUUUGAAAACACUAGUUAAGUGCAACACACAUAGUUUAGCUACAAAACGCAAGGGGUUAGUUCAGGAUUGUUUACAAUGUAUAUAUGUUUGGUACUCUGCUAUUUUUAGGAAAUGUUUGUGCUGCUGUGGAAACAGGUAAGGCCGACAGGGGAGAAUCCAUAAGACAUUAGGAGUCAUGCAGAGACACAGGAGCUAUGGGCCCCUUCUGAAUAUCUGCAGCUCCGUCUGGUGGAGGACAACCUGAACGGACUUCCUGUAGAAGCCACGCACCCAUUGUUUUUAUUUUAUUUUUCUCGUGUUUGAUUUCCUAUUUUUUAAAUUACUUUAUUUUUGAUUUCCUGUUUUUAUUAUUUUUUGUUUGUUUGUUUGUUUUAGGGUUAGGAGCUGUUGCGAUAGGUACGGUUCCUUUAGUUUAACUGGUAGCCUUUUUAUUUUUAGAAACGUUUUAUUGUAAAAAAUUCAGCCCAGUGGCCAUGUAGUCAGAAGGGGUUAAAUUGGGGGUUGCUGACGGCUAUCCUUAUCUCCUGGAAUCUAGAAAACACCUAACCUAUAGUUAAAAGUUAAUGUGAAAGCAUUAAGAUGCUUUCAAGGGGGAAUUGUUAGGUUUUUCGGAACAUAAAAACGUACAUUUAAUAUGGGAAGUUUUACGGCAUUUUCCAAGCUUUACCACAUGCAUGCCGCAUGGCCGCCGCAUGGUCUAUUGUUCAAAAUGGCGGCCAUGAUCUCUUGGCAGAGGGCGGAGCCUGGGCCUCUUUAGCACAUUUCAUUGGCUUCAACAGCAGUAAAGGAGAAGGAGCCUAGACUAGUUUAAAAAAGGACGGCGCGGACAGAAGGGCUCUCUUUCUUACGUGGUUGUGUGUGUAGACUGCAGGAGUAAGGAGCGCCGGUCGGCUUAGCUCUGAUAUAUAUUCACAGAUUAUUUUUACACUUAAUAAAGUGAACUUUUAAAGAGUACUUUCUGGACUUCCUUCGACUGCUUUCUUCAGGACCUUUUGAACUAAAAGAUUUAUCCUAACACGCGUUAGCCUGUUAGCAUCAUCGGUACGGUCGCAUGUUAACGUAAAGUAUAAAAUGACACGUGACACCAUAUCAGACAUUUGAAUAUUAUCAUUUUGUGUGUGUGUGUGUGUGUGUGUGUGUGUGUGUGUGUGUGUGUGAGAGAGAGAGAGAGAGAGAGACUUGGUGUUGCAUAUUAUUGCCAUUUUUAUAUAAAAUGCCCUGUAUAAUUUUGCUAAUAGGUAAUUGGACGGAUCUCACGGCAGAUCAAACAAAUGAGACGUGGCCUCAAGGAAACCCCGAUGUGGCCAGUUUUGUCCCAGCGCCCAGACACGGUGCCUCUGCUUUUCCCAAGAGUCAUUCGUGUGUACCCCAGAGUUAAUUCUUCAGGCAGUUUGCUGGCCUGAACAAGAGGAAGAUGAUUCUGAUUCUGAAUACCCACUAGCUACCAAGUUCUGCAUUUCUGGAUUCCUCAGACAAUUUAUUGAAACUGCAUCUCCUGAUGAAGUCAAAAGCCUGCUAAAGUUCUGGACAGGGUGGGAGGUUAUACCUAGAGCGCUCACCUUUGAAAUUGUUAAAGGUAGCCUUCCAACAGCAUCUACCUGCUUUGAGGUGCUCAAGAUCCCUGGCCAUUAUGAAGAUUUUGAAUCUUUCAAAAAUGAUUUGCUGUCAUGCAUUGAUACACAUCACACAGGGUUUGGGCUCAUUUAGAGUUAGUGUGGUGGUUGCCCCCCUUCUAUUUUUUUUGUGAACAAUGCUUCCAUUAUUUAUUUUUUGUUUAAAAGGACCUGAAGUGCAAGUUCAUUUUUAAUAUUUUUCACAGGUUAUCACUUUUCAGAUGGCAGUUUUGCUUCUCAUAGUUUGCAGUGCCUUUCCUGUCAGUUUGAAAAAGUUAGUUAAUUCUUCACUUGACAGUCUUAACUCCUCCUAGUUCAAAGGAAUUUUUUUAUUGAAAGAGCACAAUGUCUUUACUGUGAGGUUGAUUUGCAAAAAUGCAAGGUCAGUUUUAAUGUUUUAAAUAAAUUCACACUUCAGAUAUCAAUUUUUAGUUAAUCUACAGUUGUCAGUGGGCUUCGUUAUGUUCAGGCUAUAUACUAAAGCAGUAAUAAAUGCCCUUUAAUGUAGUAUGAGUUUUCUAUUAAACCUGAAUAAAUCUCUUACCAGUGUCAAUGUUCCAUAUCCUUCUACCUGCUAUAUUUGCCAUUGCAUGUAAUGGUAAAAAAGAAUGUAUUAUGGCUGAUAAAUCAGAAGAAAUGGUAGCUCUGAACUGUUUAUUAAACUACAUAUCUGUUGUGGUGCAAU